UACGAAGGGGGCUAGCGUUGCGCGGAAUUACUGGGCGUAAAGCGCACGUAGGCGGCUUUUUAAGUCGGAGGUGAAAUCCUGGAGCUCAACUCCAGAACUGCCUUCGAUACUGGAAAGCUCGAGUCCGGGAGAGGUGAGUGGAACUGCGAGUGUAGAGGUGAAAUUCGUAGAUAUUCGCAAGAACACCAGUGGCGAAGGCGGCUCACUGGCCCGGUACUGACGCUGAGGUGCGAAAGCGUGGGGAGCAAACAGG
rnacentral:rRNA from 1 species